rnacentral:lncRNA from 1 species
AAAAUUGCCAUUCAUCUAGAACAACAAAAAUUCUUACAUGCGAAUGCCAUCAAAAGGACUUUUCCAAGGCUUGUAAUGAGGCUGGGCUAACAAGAAGAAUUGGUUUUUCUGGAAUGCAAAGUCCUUGAGUUAAGAGAGCUACCAUAGUAUUCAACAUUUAAGUACAACUCUCUUCCUCACCAAUCUCACUUAUUCCCAAUCUUUUUCCCUUUUCUUUUGCAUUGAACCCAUCUUCAUGCUUUUCUUUUCUUUUUCUUUUCUUUUUCUCAUGUAUUUUUUUCUUUCACAACUUUUGAGCUCAAUGCUUUUCAAUUGCCUUUCAAUUUCCCCCAUGUAACCCCAAACUUGAACCUUUCCAUCACAUACAAUUAAGCUCAUC